rnacentral:rRNA from 1 species
AUACGUAGGUGGCGAGCGUUGUCCGGAAUUACUGGGUGUAAAGGGCGUGUAGGCGGGAAUGCAAGUCAGAUGUGAAAUUCCGAGGCUUAACCUCGGCGCUGCAUCUGAAACUGUGUUUCUUGAGUGAUGGAGAGGAAAGCGGAAUUCCUAGUGUAGCGGUGAAAUGCGUAGAUAUUAGGAGGAACACCAGUGGCGAAGGCGGCUUUCUGGACAUUAACUGACGCUGAGGCGCGAAAGCGUGGGGAGCAAACAGGAUUAGAUACCCUGGUAGUCCACGCUGUAAACGAUGGAUACUAGGUGUAGGAGGUAUCGACCCCUUCUGUGCCGGAGUUAACACAAUAAGUAUCCCACCUGGGGAGUACGGCCGCAAGGUUGA